CCUACGGGGGGCAGCAGUGAGGAAUAUUGGUCAAUGGGCGCGAGCCUGAUCCAGCCAAGUAGCGUGAAGGAUGACUGCCCUCCGGGUUGUAAACUUCUUUUAUAAAGGAAUAAAGUGAGGCACGUGUGCCUUUUUGUAUGUACUUUAUGUAUAAGGAUCGGCUAACUCCGUGCCAGCAGCCGCGGUAAUACGGAGGAUCCGAGCGUUAUCCGGAUUUAUUGGGUUUAAAGGGAGCGUAGAUGGGUUGUUAAGUCAGUUGUGAAAGUUUGCGGCUCAACCGUAAAAUUGCAAUUGAUACUGGCAGACUUGAGUACAGUUGAGGUAGGCGGAAUUCGAGGUGUAGCGGUGAAAUGCGUAGAUAUCAGGAAGAACUCCGAUGGCGAAGGCAGCUUACUAAACUGCCACUGACAUUGAUGCUCGAAAGUGUGGGUAUCAAACAGGAUUAGAUACCCGGGUAGUC
rnacentral:rRNA from 1 species